AUUGAACGCUGGCGGCAGGCCUAACACAUGCAAGUCGAACGAGUGGCGGACGGGUGAGUAAUGUCUGGGAAACUGCCUGAUGGAGGGGGAUAACUACUGGAAACGGUAGAUAAUACCGCAUACCAUGGGAUCGGCCCAGACGGGUUUAGCUAGUAGGUGAGGUAAAGGCUCACCUAGGCGACGAUCCCUAGCUGGUCUGAGAGGAUGACCAGCCACACUGGAACUGAGACACGGUCCAGACUCCUACGGGAGGCAGCAGUUGGGAAUAUUGCACAAUGGGCGCAAGCCUGAUGCAGCCAUGCCGCGUGUAUGAAGAAGGCCUUCGGGUUGUAAAGUACUUUCAUCGGGGAGGCGUUACCCGCAGAAGAAGCACCGGCUAACUCCGUGCCAGCAGCCGCGGUAAUAC
rnacentral:rRNA from 1 species